rnacentral:rRNA from 1 species
UACGUAGGGUCCGAGCGUUGUCCGGAAUUAUUGGGCGUAAAGGGCUCGUAGGCGGUUUGUCGCGUCGGGAGUGAAAACGCCGGGCUUAACUCGGUGCUUGCUUUCGAUACGGGCAGACUUGAGGCAUGCAGGGGAGAACGGAAUUCCUGGUGUAGCGGUGAAAUGCGCAGAUAUCAGGAGGAACACCGGUGGCGAAGGCGGUUCUCUGGGCAUGUUCUGACGCUGAGGAGCGAAAGUGUGGGGAGCGAACAGG